UACGCAGGGUGCGAGCGUUGUCCGGAAUUAUUGGGCGUAAAGGGCUCGUAGGCGGUUUGUCGCGUCGGGAGUGAAAACCCAGGGCUUAACCCUGGGCUGGCUUCCGAUACGGGCAGACUAGAGGUAUGCAGGGGAGAACGGAAUUCCUGGUGUAGCGGUGAAAUGCGCAGAUAUCAGGAGGAACACCGGUGGCGAAGGCGGUUCUCUGGGCAUUACCUGACGCUGAGGAGCGAAAGUGUGGGGAGCGAACAGG
rnacentral:rRNA from 1 species